GAUGAAGAACGUAGCGAAAUGCGAUACUUGGUGUGAAUUGCAGAAUCCCGUGAACCAUCGAGUCUUUGAACGCAAGUUGCGCCCGAAGCCACUAGGCCGAGGGCACGCCUGCCUGGGCGUCACACGCCGUUGCCCCCCCAUCUACUCCUUCGGGAUUGCGGGGGGGCGGAUGAUGGCCUCCCGUGCGCCUAGCCGCGCGGUUGGCAUAAAUACCAAGUCCUCGGCGACGCACGCCACGACAAUCGGUGGUUGCGAAACCUCGGUUGCCCGUCGUGUGCGUUCGUCGCGCAUCGNGGGCUCAAAAAAAUGCUCGGCUCCGGCUGGGCUUUCAACGCGACCCCAGGUCAGGCGGGGUUACCCGCUGAAUUUAAGCAUAUCAAUAAGCGGAGGA
rnacentral:misc_RNA from 1 species